CACACACACACACACACACACACACACGUACACACGUGUGCACACACACGCACACAUGCACAAUUCACUGCAGACUCUCUCUCACAUGGUCAGACACCUAUAACCAUUAGUUAGAGCUGGGUCUAGGUGACCUAAGUAAAUGGCAGUGUAGCAUCUUUAGUGGAGAAAAAAAAAAGAAGAGAAACAAUUCCAUGUGCAUCUGCAAUUUCUGGGACCGAUGUGUCAUAUUUCUAAUAAUAAUAAUAACAGAAGGAUAUAUUUACGGAGUAUAUUUUUCAUGCAUCAUCUCAACAUACACAAUGAUGGAGUUGGUGAUUGAAGCAUAGUUAAGUAGUGGGUAGCCAGACUUUCUGAUGCAUGAUUUGCUGUCAGAAAGCGCAGGCUUGGGUCCCACCUCCGACACUUACUAGAUGUGUGUCUCAGUGAGACAUUCAGUUUCAUCAGGGCUUUAUAUUGCAUCUGAAAAGUAAAAUUAAAAUAACUGCAACUUCAUAACAUCAUUGGUAAGAGGACAGGAAAUAUGACUAUGAAAAGUGUUUAAACAGUCUAUGGAUUUAUUAGUCACAUUGUAAUUGUUUUCUUAUUUUUACUUUUAAAAAUAAUUAUCAUUGAUAUUUUCUUCCUGAACAAGGACUUAAGAGUUAAUGAGGCAUAUUUUCAUUGCAUUUAAUAUUUCUCAGCCCAGAUCCGCUCAUCUGUGAAUUAGCAGUGAAAAUAUCUGCCUUUCCUAUUUCAAAUAAACUAAAUUUUGUUAUUUGCAAACAAACUGCUAAAUAAAUAUUAUGUAAUUAAAUAUAGCAUACAAAGAGAUAUACUGAGGAAAUUUAUAUGAAUAGCAUGGAAGCACAAAUGGCAAUAUAAUUGUUCAAAUAUUUUGAUCUCCUAAAGAAGCUCCAAAUGGAUUUUAUUUCAAUCUUCAAGUUGGCUGUAACAUCAUUUUUUUUAAAAUAUUUAAUCCUAAGUAACCCCAAAGUUCCAAAUAAUUUUUACUACGUAUUUAUUCAUAUUUUUGCUUGUGUACAAGAGCUCAUAACUUUAUUCUUUAAUCACUGAAUUAUUUCAAUAUUUUAAUAUUCAUUCUUCAAUCAAAAGACAAAUAUUUGUCUUAUUGUGCUUAUUCCCCUACCAUGAGCCAGACACUUCUACAUACAGGACAUGUAGCAGUGAACAAAAUGGGCCAACGCACCUGCCACCCUGAUGCUCGAAUUCUAGUAGUUUACAAUCUGUAUUACCAUUGAAAUUUUUCACCCGGCUUUCAGUGGAGACCCUUCUUCUGUUUUAAUUUCAAAUAUUAUUCUUGGAGAGUUUCUAUUCAUCUUCUGCCAUCGGUUUAUUAUAUCAAAGAAAAAGUCAACAUGGAAUAGGUUUAAGCCUUAAAAUGCACAGAGGACCAACAGAAUGGAUUCAUGCUGACAAAUCUAGACAAGAAAUCCCUGCCUCUGUUUAGGACGAUCUAUUUGGCUCGAGGUAGAUUUCACCUUGAGAAAGCAUGUUUCAACAACAACUUAAAACCUCCACUGACCCUGGGAGAAAAAAUCUGGAGGAGAAGCUAUCUGAGAGAUGAUGAAAAGGGAGUCUCUGGCUCAUGUGAACAUACUAAUGCAAAUGAGCAGAUCUUUUGCCUUAUUUUAUCUGCACAAUUCACCUUUUUCUUUAAUAUUCAUUUUAUAGACCUAAUAUUUAUACCACAUAGACCUCACCUGUAGCUACUUUUCUUAUAUGGUUUCUAAUCUCCAGUCUUCAUUGAGAAGACAUGACUUAGCAGCUUUGCCAAAGUUCAGGUGCUAGUUGUUGGAAAUGCUGGAACAUGGAGCUAGCUAUUCUGAUCUCAAGUUUCAAGCUCCUUUCAUCAAAUUAUACUGUAGGAGUUCCCUUUGUGGCUUAGCCUUUAAUGAACCUGACUAUGAUACAUGAGGAUGGAUUAAACCUGCAACCUCAUGGUUCCCAGUUGGAUUCAUUUCUGCUGGGCCACAAUGGGAACUCCCAAUAUACUGUUUUUAAUUAGAUCAUACACUUAAUUUGAAUGGUUUUGAGGGACCCUUGAUGGGAUCGUAGUGGUGGCGAAUUCUUGUAACCUCUUAAUCCUCUUUGGCUUUUUUCCAGAUAAUUAUUCAUAUAAUAUAUACAAAUUUAUCUGUAUUCUAAAAUUUUCCAGAAGUUAUGCCAGCUCAAAGAGAGAAUGAUAGAGAACUCCAGGUAGAAGGGGAUUCACAUCUCCAACUGCCUUUUUCUAAUUGACUGACCUGGAAAAAAUUACUAAUUGUGUGUGUGUGUAUUGUUGUUGUCAUUACUUAUAGAUGGAGAAAUAAUAAUAGCAAACUCAUGGCUUUAUUGUAAAGAGAAAAUGUGCUAGCAUAUGUAAAAUGCAUGAUCUUCAUUAGGGUUAAUGAAGGUAUCUCCUGCUCUUUAUUUCUGUUAAUGAACAGAGUAGGAGUUUUGUGCUGUAGAGUAAUUUAUUUGUCUGGUCAAGGAGUGUAGAAAAACUCUCUCCCUUAGUGAUUCAUGAGGCAAGUUUGUAUAUCAAGGGCUCUUUGUACGUUCUGCAGAAAGAAAUCUGUUCUGUUGUGGUUUAAUUCAGGAUCUCCCACAGUUUAAUUGUCAGAGGACUCUUACUUGAAUCAUGCGACUAACUUCCUAUCAAACUCAAGCUGCCUAGAACAUAUUUGAGGGAACACUAGACAAUAAAACCAUUGAAAUGUCAAUAUAUACAUCAAAACUCGUAUGGCCACACAUCCUACUUUUUCUUCAAUCUCAUCCAAAUUCUACCCACAGCCUACUUCAGAACUUUUCACAAAGCUUUAAUAGUAGAUUUAAAAUGUUUGGGUACCUACUGUUCUCUAUUAUAGAGAAAAGAUUUUUAAAACUACAUUACCUAUUCUGAACAUAUAGCUUAAAAUGUUGGCCAUUUUCUUGUUUUUAUUUUUAGACUGACUUCUUAACAUUGUUUUAAAUGGAAAAAAAUCAUACAUUCGAUUUAUAAUAUAUUUUCAAAGAACAUAAUUUUUACUAAAUUAAAAGUCUAUUUAUAUUUAACAUUCAAACUACUUACUUUUAAAAAUGUCUAUCUGAUUUUUACAAUGAUAAAUGUUUUAGAGAAAUGGAAACAUUUAAAUUAAAAGAAACGUAUAUCAGCUUCAUGAACUUUUACAAAUUUAUCAUCUUGAGUUUCUACUGAGAUCAAGUUAUAUAAAAAAAAACUGAAACUCUUAUACAUCAACACUCCAAUAUUGGUAAUUAUAAGUCAGCUGGGAAAAUGGUUUAUCCUAGAGGGGGAAAAAUAUUCUAUUUUGUAACUAGUAAAAAAAAUUAAAAUCUUUCCCAUAUGACUUGGACAAUAUUUUACUCUUUUUUGUUCUUAUUCAAAAUGAAAGAGUUUGUAAAACAUGCAAUUUUAUAUAAUGCUAUGUUAACAUAUUUAUUAAGUACAAGGUAAGAUUAGUUACAACAUGGACUUAAGAAACAAUGACCUGGGCUCUGUGGGUUACGAACCCGGUUAGUGUCCCUGAGGAUGCGGAUUCGAUCCCUGGCCUCACUCAGUGGGUUGAGGAUCUGGCAUUGCUGUGAGCUGUGGUGUAGGUUGUAGAGGCAGCUCGGGAUCCCAUGUUACUGUGGCUGUGGUGUAGGCCAACAGCUGCAGCUCCAGUUCAAACCGUA
rnacentral:lncRNA from 1 species